rnacentral:lncRNA from 1 species
CAUAUAUAUAUGUGUGUGUGUGUGUAGACACCCGUUGAAAAUCUAAAGUGCGGAGUAUCUACACUGAAAUAACAUACGAUAUAAACACAUACAUACUUGCAUAUACAUACACACAUAUUUUAUGUGUUUGUAUACAUGUAAACUAUACCUAUAUUAAACAUAUAUUUAUUAUUUUCAUCUCAGAAUAGUUAUUAAUCCAAUAAUGAAUGUACAAGAAUACAUAUAAUAUUGGAAUUCGUUACAUACACAUGAGUACGCAUGAAGAAAAUGAGGCAUACAUUCAUACAUACCUCGACAGCUAUAUAAGAUAUUUUCUAAUAAUGUAUGUCAGUAUGUGAUUCACCUGUCAGUAUGGGGUGAAAUGUAUAAACAUUUUAAAUCACAUGCCAUAUUGUUAUAAAAACAAUCAAAGUAUAAAGAAAACAAUGCUCACAAAAUAUGGUAAUUUAUGUCAAACGUUGGAUUUAAAAGCUGGAAAUCAAGUACACACCACAGAGGAUUUAAUUACAGGCGACACCAAGAUAUAAAAUUUCAAUCAGAAAAUAUAUAUUUUUUUAUAUCCUGUUUUCUCUCAAGUAAGACUGAAUAAAACAUGUACGUCUAUUACUGUGGAUCUAACAAGAUAUUACUGCUCCGUUCUUAUCACGACGAGAAAAUUUCCUGUGAUUUACAAAAAAGCCUCUUUGAGUGAAAGUGAAGUGGUAUUCUAUACAUGGAGAAAAUUCACUGGAUAUCUUAAAACUUCGUGACAUACUCGUUUGAGCUACAUGAAAUGACUGGGUAAGAAAAGAAUGGCUGGAAAGAAGAGAUUUCUGUAUUGGGAAGUACAUCAGAAACAUCCUCCUGGUAUAAUUAGAAAAUAUCUUGCUCCUGGUACUUCAUAUCGAAUUACGUUCCAUGAAAUCGAUUGACGCAAAUUACUGAAGUUUGGAUAAGUACUUAAUUCUUGGAGCGUAGAUACCUGGAGAAAAAGGAUGACAGCCGAACUAAAUGCUCUGUGAUAUAUAAUUACAUCACUGCAAUAUAAGAAGAUACAAGUACAUUAAACCUGAGACUAUCUCCUGCAAAACCUAAUACCAGGCUUCAUAUUCUUUAAUGGCUCCGAUAAAUGGGCGAAGAAAAGAGAAGUAACCAAAUGAAAUGCUAAAUAUUAAAACUGAUCAACAAUAGCUUUCACUAUUUCAGUUGCAGAUUUUAUUUCAGACUUGAAAUGGUCAACAUGGACGCUCUUCAGACUAUUCGUGUGAUAAAUGUAAGAUCAAUCGUGCAAGAAUUGACUUAACUAUUCAACAAAUCUCAUAUUAUAUUUAUUUAAUUGUCUAUAAAUUUCCUAAGCAAAUUCAUCAUUUUGAAUGAAUUUUUUGCGAUUUUCAAAAUAAGCAAUUAACCAACUUAGAAAAUAUCAUUACUGAAGACGAAAAGAUUCCAUUCAUAAUGCAAUAUUUCCAUAAUCUUCUAUAAAAAAUGAAGGACAUUGUACAUCACAAAAAUAUAUUAUGAAAAAUAGAGGACUUUAUGAAGACAUUCUGUCAAAACCAAAAUUUUAUGCAGAGCAAAAGAACUUUCAAGUAAAAAUAAUGGUCUCUUUUUGACAAAACAUAAAACUUCUAAGUUCAUAUGUUGCGUUCGUGAUUUUCUCAAAGUAGCUAACAGCGUAUAAGUAACUUAACCUUUAUUUUCUCACAUACGCACAGAGCUACAAUCUUCAAAGAAAAGAAUAAAGCAAAUUGAACCGACCUGUUACAUGACUGGUACGUAUAUUACUGAGCCCGGAUGGAUGAAAGACCUCAGCAGAAUUUGAGCUCAAAACGUAGAGGCUGACUUAAAGUUUAGUCUACUGUUUUAUUAUUCCAUCUCAUUUCCUUGUAGGAAUAUUAACAUUAAAACACAGCAAGCUCUACCAUAUUGAUUCUUACAUCUCAAAUUGUAACUCAUCAUGAUUGUGACGUUUCCAUCCUUACAAAGCCUUUGAGAAUUUGAGCCAGCAUGUUAAAUAAAGGUACUUCUUUUAAUCCA